rnacentral:lncRNA from 1 species
CCACUUAGGAUUUUAAGGACUUGCUGCCCAAGUUAUGAUUGAUCCUUGGACCAGACGGUUUAUUAGAAACACAGACUCUCAGGUCCCACCUUGAUCCACUGAUUUAUAAAUAAUAUUCCUUAUCUUAGCAUCUACCUUUAGAUAUUAAUAUAAUUCAUCUUUCUUUUGAUUGGUAUUCAUAUGACAUAUCUUUCCCCAAUCCUUUCUUUUUAACUUGUCUAAAUCCUUAUAUUUCAGGGUUUCUUGUAGACUGUAUUUUUUUUUUUUGGUAGAUUGCAUAAAUAUACUUUGUUGAGAGCCACAGCCGAAGGGGCCCCAGCAAACUUCCAGCUGCCAGCAAACUUCCAGCUGCCGGCUGAUGAUUGGCUCACAGCGGCCCCAGCAACAUCUAGCUGAUUGGCUCCUCUGCGGUGAUGCUCAUUGGGCUGUUUCCCUGCCCUUUCAGACCACGGAGCUGCUCAUUGGGGGACUUUUUUGGCUCCGCCCACAUGACCCAGCCAAUCGGCCUCAAGAGCAGGAGGAUUGUGGGAGGGGGAGAGAAGCUUGUGUGGGAGAGAGAGGCUUGUGGAAAGCCGGUGGUGGCAGUUGAGGCUCUGAGGGUUUUUCCUGAGAGGCUGUUUUGUUUGGC